rnacentral:rRNA from 1 species
UAGCUAGUUGGUAAGGUAACGGCUUACCAAGGCGACGAUCUCUAGCUGUUCUGAGAGGAAGAUCAGCCACACUGGGACUGAGACACGGCCCAGACUCCUACGGGAGGCAGCAGUGGGGAAUAUUGCACAAUGGGGGAAACCCUGAUGCAGCCAUGCCGCGUGUGUGAAGAAGGCCUUCGGGUUGUAAAGCACUUUCAGUUGUGAGGAAAAGUUAGUAGUUAAUACCUGCUAGCCGUGACGUUAACAACAGAAGAAGCACCGGCUAACUCCGUGCCAGCAGCCGCGGUAAUACGGAGGGUGCGAGCGUUAAUCGGAAUUACUGGGCGUAAAGCGCACGCAGGCGGUUUGUUAAGCUAGAUGUGAAAGCCCCGGGCUCAACCUGGGAUGGUCAUUUAGAACUGGCAGACUAGAGUCUUGGAGAGGGGAGUGGAAUUCCAGGUGUAGCGGUGAAAUGCGUAGAUAUCUGGAGGAACAUCAGUGGCGAAGGCGACUCCCUGGCCAAAGACUGACGCUCAUGUGCGAAAGUGUGGGUAGCGAACAGGAUUAGAUACCCUGGUAGUCCACACCGUAAACGCUGUCUACUAGCUGUGUGUGUCUUUAAGACGUGCGUAGCGAAGCUAACGCGCUAAGUAGACCGCCUGGGGAGUACGGCCGCAAGGUUAAAACUCAAAUGAAUUGACGGGGGCCCGCACAAGCGGUGGAGCAUGUGGUUUAAUUCGAUGCAACGCGAAGAACCUUACCUACACUUGACAUGCUGAGAAGUUACUAGAGAUAGUUUCGUGCCUUCGGGAACU